AAACCGUGUACGUACAAGCAGUGGGAGCACGCUUAGGCGUGUGACUGCGUACCUUUUGUAUAAUGGGUCAGCGACUUAUAUUCUGUAGCAAGGUUAACCGAAUAGGGGAGCCGAAGGGAAACCGAGUCUUAACUGGGCGUUAAGUUGCAGGGUAUAGACCCGAAACCCGGUGAUCUAGCCAUGGGCAGGUUGAAGGUUGGGUAACACUAACUGGAGGACCGAACCGACUAAUGUUGAAAAAUUAGCGGAUGACUUGUGGCUGGGGGUGAAAGGCCAAUCAAACCGGGAGAUAGCUGGUUCUCCCCGAAAGCUAUUUAGGUAGCGCCUCGUGAAUUCAUCUCCGGGGGUAGAGCACUGUUUCGGCAAGGGGGUCAUCCCGACUUACCAACC
rnacentral:rRNA from 1 species